GAUUUAGUGGCGCAACGGUAGCACGCCUGACUGCAGAUCAGGAAGUUGCGUGUUCAAAUCACGUCGCGAUCA
rfam:Daphnia pulex DAPPTscaffold_64_Cont3281, whole genome shotgun sequence.